rnacentral:rRNA from 1 species
CAUUACCAAAAAAAACUGAAACCAAAUUUCGAUACCCUGGUAACCUGCCAGGACGGAAUCAAACGUUUGCCCGGGAGUUCGCGCUCCUCCGGCGGGUUUGGGCGUUUUAUGUACGCAUCUGAAGUCAUACGCUCCCUAUCGAUCCGUGCUGUGCUGGCUGGCGGUCGAGCCCCUGGUGCCUGAGGAGGCCCAGCCCGGUUCCUGACUGCACGAGCCCUAGCACGGUGUGGGUGCGUUAUCUACUCCUGCAACCCUAUGUUUACCUACCUUUGUUGCUUUGGCGGGCCGCGGCCUCCGCUGCGGGCUCACGCUCGCAUGUGCCCGCCAGAGGACCCAACUCUUGAUUUUUAGUGAUGUCUGAGCACUAUUAAAUAGUUAAAACUUUCAACAACGGAUCUCUUGGUUCUGGCAUCGAUGAAGAACGCAGCGAAAUGCGAUAAGUAAUGUGAAUUGCAGAAUUCAGUGAAUCAUCGAAUCUUUGAACGCACAUUGCGCCCGCUGGUAUUCCGGCGGGCAUGCCUGUUCGAGCGUCAUUUAUGACCAACUCACGCUCCGCGUGGUCUUGGGGUCCGCUGUCACGGCGGCCCUUAAACGCAGUGGCGGUGCCGUGCGGCUCUCAGCGUAGUAAUACAUCUCGCUACAGGGUCCGGACGGGAUUGGCCAGCAACCCCAACCUCUCUAGGUUG